UAUCAAAAACAUGUCUUUUAGAAUUUAAUUUAAAGUCUAACCUGCCCACUGAUAAUUAUUAAAUGGCCGCAGUAUCCUAACUGUGCAAAGGUAGCAUAAUCAUUAGUCUUUUAAUUGAAGGCUGGAAUGAAUGGUUGAAUGAAAUAUUAACUGUUUCAUAAAAAUUUUUAAUAGAAUUUUAUUUUUUAGUUAAAAAGCUAAAAUAAAAUUAAAAGACGAGAAGACCCUAUAAAUCUUUAUAUUUUAUUGGGGUGAUAUUAAAAUUUAAUAAACUUUUAAUUUUUAUUUUACAUAAAUUAAUGAAUUAUUGAUCCAUAUAUUAUGAUUAAAAAAAUAAGUUACUUUAGGGAUAACAGCGUAAUUUUUUUAGAGAGUUCUUAUUGAUAAAAAAGAUUGCGACCUCGAUGU
rnacentral:rRNA from 1 species